ensembl:snRNA U6 U6 spliceosomal RNA
AUGCUUGCUCUGGCAGCACAUAUAUUAAUUGGAAUGAUACAGAAAAGAUUAGCAUGGCCUCUUGCAAUGAGAACCUGCAAAUUGAUGAAGUGGUCCAUAAUUUU